AUACGGAGGAUCCGAGCGUUAUCCGGAUUUAUUGGGUUUAAAGGGUGCGCAGGCGGGAGAUUAAGUCGGCGGGGAAAUUUUGCAGCUCAACUGGAAAAGGGCCUUCGAAACUGGGUUCCUUUAGGGUAGAUGAAGGUGGUGGAAUUUGUGGUGUAGCGGUGGAAUGCAUAGAUAUCACGAGGAACUCCGAUUGCGCAGGCAGCUUACUAAACUACUACUGACGCUCAGGCACGAAGGCGUGGGGAUCAAACAGGAUUAGAUACCCUGGUAGUCCACGCAGUAAACGAUGAUUACUAGCUGUUUGCGAUACAAUGUAAGCGGCUGAGCGAAAGCGUUAAGUAAUCCACCUGGGGAGUACGUUCGCAAGAAUGAAACUCAAAGGAAUUGACGGGG
rnacentral:rRNA from 1 species